rnacentral:rRNA from 1 species
AUUGAACGCUGGCGGCAGGCCUAACACAUGCAAGUCGAGCGAACCUAGCUUGCUAGGUGAGCGGCGAACGGGUGAGUAACGCGUAGGAAUCUGCCCGAUAGUGGGGGACAACGUCUCGAAAGGGACGCUAAUACCGCAUACGCCCUACGGGGGAAAGCAGGGGAUCUUCGUACCUUGCGCUAUCGGAUGAGCCUGCGUCGGAUUAGCUAGUUGGCGGGGUAAAGGCCCACCAAGGCGACGAUCCGUAGCUGGUCUGAGAGGAUGAUCAGCCACACCGGAACUGCGACACGGUCCGGACUCCUACGGGAGGCAGCAGUGGGGAAUAUUGGACAAUGGGGGCAACCCGGAUCCAGCCAUGCCGCGUGUGGGAAGAAGGCCUUCGGGUUGUAAAGCACUUUAAGGGGGGAGGAAGGUUCGUUGGCUAAUAUCCAACGGAAUUGACGCUACCCCCAGAAUAAGCACCGGCUAACUCCGUGCCAGCCGCCGCGGUAA